rnacentral:rRNA from 1 species
AAGUAGUGCCUAUGCGCUAUUUAGUGGCAAACGGGUGAGUAACACGUAGCUUAGCUGUCCUAGAGUGGGGGAUAGCCGCGGGAAGCCGCGGGUAAUACCGCAUGUGAUCUACGGAUUAAAGCUUAAUGCGCUUUAGGAGGUGGCUGCGGCCCAUCAGGUUGUUGGCGGGGUAAUGGCCCACCAAGCCUAUGACGGGUAUCCGGCCUGAGAGGGUGAUCGGACACAUUGGAACUGAGACACGGUCCAGACUCCUACGGGAGGCAGCAGCUAGGAAUUUUCCGCAAUGGACGAAAGUCUGACGGAGCAACGCCGCGUGAAGGAUGAAGGUCUUUAGGGAUUGUAAACUUCUUUUAUAUGAGACGAGUAAGGACGGUAUCAUAAGAAUAAGUCCCGGCUAACUACGUGCCAGCAGCCGCGGUAAUACGUAGGGGGCUAGCGUUGUUCGGAAUUACUGGGUAUAAAGGGUGCGCAGGCGGAUUUCUAAGCAAGAGGUGAAAUGUCAAGGCUCAACCAUGGCACUGCCUUUUGAACUGGUUAUCUGGAGUACAGA